rnacentral:lncRNA from 1 species
GUAUCUAGAUGAUUUGUUUGAAAAAAUUCCUAAACUCUGAUAGCAAAAUGUGCAGGGACUCUAUCUUGUAGCAGGAUUAUGGCAGCUGCUAUUCCAAUUGCCAUAAGCUAUGGAUAGAGCUAUGGUCAAAAUAUGUCUUCAUAUGACUGCCAAUUAACAGGAUCAUCAAACAAAAAUAAGGUCCAAUAAGGUCUAAUAUGCCUUGGAUUCAUGCUAACUCAGAUCAUAGCUUGUGGUGGAUUCUUUUCCACUUCCUGCAAGUGGCAACCAAAUGCUGUUCAACAGAAUAUGCAUUUCUGUCGAUCAUCAUUACCAACAUUGUUCUUCAAACUGAUGCAGGCUUGCCAUCACAAAAUUUCUCAUUGAAUGUGGCAUGGUAUUCAGUUGUAAUUAUGAUAACAAUGGCACUCAUACUGAUAUUCUGGAUAUGAUGAUCAAUAAAAAUAAAAAAAAGACAAUAUCUGUUGUUUUUAUGAAAUAAAUGGAGUUUAACACUUUGCGCUCCUUUGCCUAGCCUGGCAAGACAAACUUCUGCGUAGCUUCCGCUACAAUGUCUUGCUC